GGGGGACUAGCUCACUUGGUAGAGCGCUCGCUUAGCGUGCGAGAGGUACUGGGUUCGAAUCCUGGGUUCUCCA
rfam:Trachipleistophora hominis chromosome Tnknown scaffold00107, whole genome shotgun sequence.